rnacentral:rRNA from 1 species
UACGAAGGGUGCAAGCGUUACUCGGAAUUACUGGGCGUAAAGCGUGCGCAGGCGGUGAUGUAAGACCGAUGUGAAAUCCCCGGGCUUAACCUGGGAACUGCAUUGGUGACUGCAUCGCUCGAGUAUGGCAGAGGGGGGUAGAAUUCCACGUGUAGCAGUGAAAUGCGUAGAGAUGUGGAGGAAUACCGAUGGCGAAGGCAGCCCCCUGGGUCAAUACUGACGCUCAUGCACGAAAGCGUGGGGAGCAAACAGG